UAUAGUAAUUUUGCCUAAAUCUGUCGUGCAACCAGUUUUACGCUUUUUCACAAAUUCAGGUAGAUUCCUCCACGUUUCGUUCCGUUUGCUUGCGUUUAAGAAACAAUCUGAGUUUCGAUGUGGAGUCAUUUUGGGUAAAUAUGUCGGCCAACCAGUUUUACGCGUAUUUUUCCAAUUCAAUUUCUCAGCCAAGAUGUAGCAAAGCUUGUAAUAUAUGUCCUUAAAACGACCAACGCCUCUUGCACACAGGCUGGGUUUCGACAUCACGGGGGGAUAUUUAUAUCUCGGGAUACGCUGCUCCCCUUGAAAUGCACUUGUCGUUAUUGCACUUGGCGCUUCGGUAUCGCACGAUGACGUCAAGGUUAGUAUAGGGCGUCAUUGCCUGUGCAAUGGUGUGCUAUAUCGACUGAGCAGGCGUCAGUCGCCAAUUACUCCAACAUUUUGUAUCUGUACGCGGUGGAAUAUAUAAUUUCUUAUAAACUAGUGCGGGGACUUGAGUUAACGAGUGGUAAUGGCGAGCUUCUCUCCGCUGGUCCUGUCCAUCGCUGCCACCAGCUUUGUGACGUUCCAGUGUCUGUUCCAUUUUGUCAGUCCCUGUAUCUCUGCUCGGUUCUGUCCUGGGUACCGCCGCCUCAGCCCUAAACACAACGUAGAGUGGAACUCCAGAACUGUGUCUACAUUUCACGCCUUGAUAGUGGGCCUUUUUUGUCUCUACAUAUUACUAUUUGAUGAUGCCGUCAAUGAAGACCCAGUCUGGGGAGAUCCGUCACUGGUGAAAAUAAAUGUGGCCAUAACCUGUGGCUACCUCCUAUCAGAUAUGCUGCUCAUAUGUUACUAUUGGCGGGCGAUAGGGGACAAGUUUUUUGUAAUCCACCACCUGGCAGCACUGUAUGCUUACUACUAUGUACUGGUGAGUUCCUUACUGACCCAGAGUAGAAUGUGCAGGCAAGAUGGGGAAGGGACAAGGGCCAAGGGUGAACAGCCAUGUAGUUUGAUGGGAUUGGUUAGAAUAGAUAACAAAGUGCUUGUCAGGGAUGAAAUAGUUUGGUUCCACUUUACAGUAUCCCUAAUAUGUGUAGACCUAUAAAUACACUGCUAUAAGUGUUAUUACUUAGUUGUUUUACUGUACUUACUAGGGUUAUUACGCAGUAAUAGAACACUGUAAACCAGGGGUAGGCAAGUAGAUUCAGCCGCGGGCCUAUUUUUGUCGGAGCGAAUGGUUGACAAAAUUUGUACACAGCAAAUUGACCACAACUAAGCCCAAAAAGAGAUUGUAUUUAAGAAAUAACAAUAAUUUCAUACCUUGAUUACAUUGAGACGCGAUUACACAUCUCUUUUUUAUUUAUGGGAAUACUUGAACAGAUUUCCUAAAAUAACACAUUUUUAACUGAACUCCUGGUGAUUUUACAGUCUUUUUGAGCAAAAAUGACCCCUCCCCCCCAGGUUUAGGCCUGUUUCCAACCCCUGCUGUUGCCGACCCCUGCUGUACACUAAAGCGUUACCCUCCCUUCUUCGGGAAGGUACAGUGUAAGCAAGUGCAUAUAUUGUUCGAAAGUAGUUAGAGUUGUAAAACAGUUUUGAUAUAUGGCUUGCAGUUGACGCACCACCAAAAGCUAGACAACCAUGUGAUGUAUUUGUUCACUCUUGGUCCUGUCCUGUGAAUCUAUUCUGGGCCGUCAGGCUCAGUAGCUGCUAAGACUAACGAUGACAAUGAUCAGGAUGGGGACCAUUUUUUGCAUGGAAUACGAUGAUGAGUUGUUGUGCCCGUUUCAAAGCCACAGAUUCAGACCAGUCCCGGACUAGAAUACAUGCUCAAUGGAGAAUAUCCAUUGAAUAUAAUUUUUUUUGGUCCCAGACUAGGAUUAAUCUGUGUCCAGGAAACCAGACUGUAGAGUUUCUGUGCAUAAUGUAUUCUCUUACUUCUCUCAGUCUGUGAUGGUGAUUGGUGCAUACUGCCUUUUGGUUGUUUUGACCUUUUGACCCUAGACCCUAUACAUCACUACAAAGACAGGGUCUUCCUCUUAUUUCAUUUUUAAAAAAUCACCACUGACUUUUCUCAGUAAAAUGUACUGGAUAAUUUCCAGUCCCUUUUCUGGGUAAUGUUAGACUGGAUUGUAGAGUAAAUGUUUAGAAAUAUAUAUUUAGAUAAUAACUUAAUAACAGCAUCCACAUAGUUAGUCCAUAUCUUUUUUAUUUUCUCUAGAAUGUUUAAAAAAAAUAUUCUUCAAUGUUGGGAUGGGGGCUUUUAAUGGUGCCAGUUAUCACUAGUUGCACAUUUCUUCUGUUUAGGUAUUUAUGUCCAUGUCUUUCCUCCACUUACAUGUGUGAUCAAUGAACACAGUCUUGUGUCUCUAACCUGCUAACAAUACAGAACAUGCAAAAAAUGUCUGAAACAAAGAACAGGCCUGUGUCAAAUGGCUAUAGAAGGGGUCCCUUCCUAUCUUGUCUGUAGUGGAUUCUGUUGUGGUACAUAGAGCACAUGUUGCCUAGUAACAGUAUGGAUUUACCAGUACAUAGCGGUACGAGCAUGCACUGCUGGAUUGUCACCACCAAUUUUUGAACACAUUUUGAACAUUUCUAUGUGACCCAAGUUUAUUAACCGUGUCAUAACCCCAGUAAGUACACCUAGAUGUUUUAUUUUUUUGGGAUCGUACGGUAGGUUUACGAUCAUGAUGUAUCACGAAUUCACAUAUUUUUGAAAGUACUUCUCUUGCCAUUAUUUUCUUUGCACUUUGUUCUGUCUCUCUCUUUUAGAGCAUAGGAAUGUUGCCUUAUUUUGCUAACUUCCGUCUGGUCGCAGAGCUUUCCACUCCUUGUGUGAACCAGCGGUAGGUAACCUCUGUGCCAAAUAGACUCACGCACACACAAACAGAAGGUUUACUGGGAAGUAGAGGGAACCUCAUUAAAUACCCAUUUAUUUGUCCUUACAGUAUUUGCCAAGUGGCUUUUGUCAUUGGUAGUAGUGCAUUCAACCGUUUCAGAAACACUAUUGACUGUUAAUGUUUAACUACUUAUAGUGAGUCAGACCUGUUACACCCAGCUGAAAGCUCCUACAGUAUCUGACAUACAUCAUUAGAGACAUGUUUCAUACUUAAUAAUACAUUUUCAGUCACAUACAUUUCCAAUUGUAUACUAUUAUCCUGAUUUAAUCCAACAAAGACAAAAUCCAGAUUCAAUGUUAAACAUUUACAUUUAUAUUUGAAUCAUUUAGCUUACACUCUUAUCCAGAGUGAAUUACAGUUAGUGCAUUCAUUUUAAUAUAGCUGGGUGGGACAACCACAUAUCACAGUCAAAGUAAGUAUAUUUUUCCUCAUAGUAGCUAUCAGCAAAGUCAGUGAUUAGUAGAAAGAGAGUCAAGUGUGAGUGUUAGUUUAACAGGUAGGAUUUCAGACGUUUUCAGAAGAUGGGCAGGGACUCUGCUGACCUAGCGUCGGGGAAGCUUGUUCCACCAUUGGGGUGCCAGGAAAGAGUCCUCCCGUAGGGUUGGGAGAGCCAAGAGGCCAGAGGUGGCAGAACGGAUUGCUCGGGUUAGGGUGUAGGGUUUGAGCAUAUGCUUGAAGGUAGGGAUUGCCAUGACGCUAUUGCCAGGAAAGAGUCCUCCCGUAGGGUUGGGAGAGCCAAGAGGCCAGAGGUGGCAGAACGGAUUGCUCGGGUUAGGGUGUAGGGUUUGAGCAUAUGCUUGAAGGUAGGGAUGGGCAGUUCCCUAAGGAAUUGUACUUAAAACCUUUAAGUUCUUGGUAUACUGUAGAUAUGUCUUAAGAGCCACCUUUCUGGAACAAUGCCAGUUGAUAUCCAUGACUCCAUUACAAUUGAGUCCAACAACUGCUAUCUCACUCUGUAACUAUACUAACUGUAUCUAUCUUUCAGCUGGUUCUUUGAAGUGCUUGGUUACCCAAAGAAAUCAUUACCAAAUAUGGUCAACGGAAUUGCCAUGACGCUAUCCUUCUUCCUGGUGAGGAUAGCCGUCAUGCCGAUGUAUUACAGCCGGAUGUACGCCGUGUACGGGACAGAACCUUUCUACCGGGUGACUUUUGGUGGCCGUUGUGCAUGGAUGGGCCCCAGUUUCUGUCUAGACAUUAUGAACGUCAUGUGGAUGCAUAAAAUGGCCCGCGGCUGCAUUAGUGUCCUGCGCUCUCCCGGAAAGGUAAAAGUGGAAAAGCUACAGAAUGGGAAAGUGCACUGAGAGGUUGCACAAGGCUAUGGUGGAGUUAUUUUUAUUGUAUGUCUGGUUCAAAUGGUUCAUGGACAUUUUUGGAUCAAAUGGUUCAUGGACUGGAAAUGUCUUGAGACUCCCUAGGAUCCCAUGACCAGCCCUAGGUAAAUUGUGUACCACUAUAUUUAUUUGCCCAGAACACUGCCAAUUGAACAAGCUCUACAGUCCUCCAAAAUGAUGGGAGGGGACAUGGUAAAGGCCAUUGGAUUGCAUCUCCUCUUGGUCCUUACAGAUGGAGGAAGUGGAUGGAAACAAACAGACAAUACUCUAAAGCACAGGUCCUCUUUUCUGUAGGACCCUUUGAUUGUAAAUUGUAUGUAUGUCCACCCAAAGGUGUCUUGUGUGUAUUGCCACAAUUACAUGAACUGACAUGGAAGAUAAUGUUAAAGGAACUCACAUAGUUUUGUAAUGUUUAUGAAGCCAUAUAGAUGGCUCUUGUACAAAUAUCAUGAGAUAUUGUACAAAAAUAAAAUCCUUACUUGAAAUCUGUGUUUUCACCAGCAUUAGGAUGUAAAAGCAGUAUAUUGUCAGGCUACUGAAGUCUAUGCUCAGGAGCCUGCUCAUGCAGUAGGCCUAGGAAAUAUUAGUCAUGCACAUAAAGUAUCAGGGUAGAUUUAGACAAACCAUGUAUUGUAAUUUUAUCUCUAGAAGUGACCUUACUGAGUGUGAUUCAUGAUAACAGCAAUAAAAGUGCACUUAUGUCUAACCGACACACGCACACUAUAACUUCACACAAGCAUCUCCACACAGUUCACAAAUUACAAAUCAAACUUCAGAAGUCAAGCUUCAUAAUGUAAUGUGAAAAAUUUAAUUAAAGGGAUACUGCAAGAUUCUGGCAUUUAAUCCCUUUUUCUGGUUACCCAGAGUCUGAUGAACUUGUAUGUCUGCAUGCAGUAUGAAGUUAGAAUAGCAAUGCUACUGUACCUUUAGACUUCCAGUCUUUGUGUUAUCGCUAGUUAACGUUGGCUAGCUAAACUACCUCUAUUUUCAUCAUGCUGUGUGCAGAGACAUAAAAAUGGUAUCCGCAAGUUCAUCUUCUCCGGGUAAGCAGAACAUGGCCUUAAAUGCAAGAAUCUCGCAUUAUGCCUUUCAGGUUUCCCUGUUGGAUCUCUGGGUGAGAAUAUGCAAGCUAUUGUGACAUUUACAGCUAUGUUAGUUAUAAUAUUUCAUUUAAAAAUAUAUAUUUUAAUAAUGAACUCCUAGUUAGUUGAAGUGAAUGAUUUAUUAACUUUAUUUUCAUACUUGCUUUGAUUGUCUUCAGACAGUUGUCAGCAGACAACACGACGACACUUGUCUGCUGCUGCUCUCUUGUGGAGACAAUGCGGGACUGCAAACAUCCCCUCAAAAGGAGGAUACAGUGGUCAAUGAGUUUUGAGGAAUAUUAAUAAAAAAAUGAUUGAUGUUAAAA